GCGGAGGAAAAGAAACCAACAGGGAUUGCCUCAGUAACGGCGAGUGAAGCGGCAACAGCCCAGAUUUGAAAUCUGACCCUCGGGUCCGAGUUGUAAUCUGCAGAUGAGUCUUUUGGUGGAGCGCCGUCCAAGUUCCCUGGAAUGGGACGCCGGAGAGGGUGAGAGCCCCGUACCGACGUGCGCCGAGCCUCUGCAAAGCUCAUUCGACGAGUCGAGUAGUUUGGAAAUGCUGCUCUAAUCGUGGGGUAAAUCUCCCAUAAGGCUAAAUACUGGCCAGAGACCGAUAGCGCACAAGUAGCGUGAGCGAAAGAUGAAAAGAGCCUUGAAUAAGGGCGUCAAAAAGCAUGUGAAAUUGUUGUGGGGGAAGCGCUCAACGCCAGACGUGGCGGCGGUUGGUUACCCGGCGUUCUUCGCCGGCGCACUCGGCCGUCGCCAGGCCAGCAUCAGUUCGGCCUGGGGCUUACUGCCGUGGGGAAUGUGGCCCUUCGGGGUGUUAUAGCCUCGCGGAGACGUCCUGGGCCGGACUGAGGAACGCGCAUCUGCC
rnacentral:rRNA from 1 species